UAAAAGAGUUUUGCAGAUUCCCUUAGUAACAAGGAUUCCCUCAGUGGCGGACUGGGCCCAAGUCCCCUGGAAGGGGGCGCUAGAGAGCGUGAGAGCCCCGUCAUGCCCGGACCCUGUCGCACCACGAGGCGUUGUCGGCGAGUAGGGUUGUUUGGGAAUGCAGCCCCAAUCGAGCGGUAAAUUUUGUCCAAGGCUAAAUACUGGCAAGAGACCGAUAGCGAACAAAUACCGCGAGG
rnacentral:ncRNA from 1 species